rnacentral:sRNA from 1 species
AUUAAAGACAUUGUACACUAGGGUAUUUCAAAGAACAAUGACUAGCAAAAGAAAUCUAAUAGGGAGUUCAAUUAAGGUAUCUCAAACAUGAACAUAAAUUUAAACUAACUCUCUAAAUAUGAUUACUCAACUACUAAACUCUCAUUUGUAGUUUUCUAAUCAAAUUUGGAUUAUCGAGUUGGAUCAUUUGGUUCACAAUGCGUUCUAACGUCAACUCUCGUUGUCAGCCUAUCACUUGUCCAAUGUGUCACAAGAUAAGUUGAUGCCCAACCAUAUACCACAAUAGCUACAUAAUAGACUGUGAAUUAUUGCGCCACUAUAUGCAUGCCAUGUUUUUAUGAAAAAGCUGAUAUAGCUCCUAAAUGAUGGUGAUGAUCUAUCAUAGGUGAAAGUGCAAGAGAAGGAGCUAGAGUACAAGAACAUUGACAGCUUUGAUGAGAAUGCACUUGAGAAUUUAUGUAGCUGCCAUAUGAUUAGCAGUCUAGCCCAAUACGGAUUUAAUGCAAAAAUUGCAACAAAACCAAAAAAUGUAACAUUUAAACGAUUGACUUGACAUGUGGUACAAUCCUAUAAGUUAUUAACUUUGAAAAUCAUAUUUA